rnacentral:rRNA from 1 species
UACGUAGGGUCCGAGCGUUGUCCGGAGUUACUGGGCGUAAAGCGCGCGCAGGCGGCGGUGUUGGCCCGGCGUGAAAGCCCCCGGCUCAACCGGGGAGAGUCGUCGGGGACCGCACCGCUUGAGGGCGGUAGGGGCUGGUGGAAUGCCUGGUGUAGUGGUGAAAUGCGUAGAGAUCAGGCAGAACACCUGGGGCGAAGGCGGCCAGCUGGGCCGUCCCUGACGCUGAGGCGCGAAGGCGUGGGGGAGCGAACGGG